rnacentral:lncRNA from 1 species
AUAAUAUGAUAUUCGGAAAGGCUUCCGCACUUAGUGAAAUUAAACUUAAACCUAAGAUCAAUAUUAUUAUAAAAGUUAAUAUUAAACUCAACAGACUUCCUGGUUGAACCGCGUCGAUUGUCACUGUGCCGAGCUUUCGUUAUCCUCUCUAAUGUCUUCCUCAGAGCUUCCAAGGUCUCAGGCUCCUGAGUCCCCAGACACUAAUCUCUUCACUACUCGCUGCACUACCGUAUUUAAUUUAAUCUUGAUAAUAUAAAAUUUACCCAGCAAUUUCCUAAAAUGUUUUCCAGAGCCAGAAAAAGAAUACGCAAGUUUAUUAAUUCAGUCAGUGUCAGUUAACAAUCCUCCUGUAGUAAAUUAUCCUCAUAUGGGAUAUUCAAACAUGAUACAGACUCACCCACCGAUUCAGUAUACACAAACUCAUCCGCACAUAGCACGUGUUGCUGCUGUGGGAACAAGGUGCCAUUGGAACAGAUAUCCUUAUUGCGGAGCAAUAACAAACAGUUUUCCGUUUGCGAGGUGUGCCUCAAGAAACGGCCCAUAUUAACGACUAUAUGUUUCGCUAAUCCAGAAGAUACCACCACCGAAUCU